UGGGCUAUCGCCAAACGGUAAGGCACAGGAUUUUGAUUCCCGCAUUCCGGGUUCGAAUCCCGGUAGUCUAA
rnacentral:tRNA from 1 species